rnacentral:lncRNA from 1 species
AAUGAUUACUUGUCAAAUUGCCUGACUGGUCAGGUUGCCAAUUUCCAUAUAAUUUGACAUUACCGAUGAAUCUUCUCUUGAGCUUGGUAUGGAACCAUGCAUUGUAUUAUGUGGUGGCUCUAACAAUGCUAUAAAAAUAUACCUAGAACAAGAACCUGUUGCGGAAAAAUGUGACUUAUUUGGAGGAGCAUUGCAUUGCUUAAUUGCUCUUUAUUUUGUCUUCAAUUUGGAAUAUCCCAAAGAAGCAUCCUGCAUUUUGGAUUUCCUUCAAAGAUAUAUUUCAAAAAUACACCCCGAAGCAGGAACCAAAUCGAAAAAACAAAAUCUUUUGAAAAGAAAAGUUAUUUCAUAUUUAACGAAGUUAGCCAAGAUAGAAUAAUAAAUUAUUAUUUUAUUUAUGUAAAUCUCAAAUAACUUUGGUUUAAAACUGAUUUCUUAUAUUAAUUAAUAACUUAAUGUAUUAAUAUAACGAGAAAGUAAAGUUUGGGACAAAUUCGUUUUAAAAUUGAAAGGUUUAAAAAAACAACGCUCGAGCCCAUUUAUUUUUAUUUUUAGUAGCGCUUUUUUGCCAAUGUACACUUUCUAUACAGGG